UACGUAGGGUGCCAGCGUUGCUCGGAAUCACUGGGCGUAAAGCGCACGUAGGCGGAUCUUUAAGUCAGGGGUGAAAUCCCAAGGCUCAACCUUGGAACUGCCUUUGAUACUGGGGAUCUCGAGUCCGGAAGAGGUGAGUGGAACUGCGAGUGUAGAGGUGAAAUUCGUAGAUAUUCGCAAGAACACCAGUGGCGAAGGCGGCUCACUGGUCCGGUACUGACGCUGAGGUGCGAAAGCGUGGGGAGCAAACAGG
rnacentral:rRNA from 1 species